CUCCUAAUAUGUUCGGCAAAACUUUAACUGCCAACAACGACAGUUACGAUUACGCCUUAGCGGCAUAAUCGCGUGGAACAGUUCCCGCCGCCUUGAGGGGCUGUCUCCAUGUCGCAAUCGAGGCUGGUCAUAAUGCGGCUUCCGGACGCGGAUUGACAAGAUUUUCCCGGAAUAAGGGUAGCGGCGUGUGCCGUACACAAACCCUGCUCCGACAUGCGAUUUAUUUCGUGUAAUAUGCGGCUAAACCUGUAGACGUGUGUGUUUUGCGUAUUAGGACGCGGGUCCGACUCCCGCCACCUCCAUCA
rnacentral:tmRNA from 1 species